rnacentral:lncRNA from 1 species
GAACGGCAACGAGACCGAGAAAAUGUGUAGAAUUUUGGGUAUGUUGAUCAUGUAGGUGAAUCUCUUCCCGUACGAGACUUUGGACACUUGGGGCAUCUGGGCACUGGUUGAUGAAGUCCACUAUGGUUAGUAGCCAGUGGGCCAAACCAGCAUAGCAUUUGUGGGACGGUUAGUGGUCGUUCAGUGGGGAAGGCUUUGGAACAUCGCCGCCCUCGUCGUCAUUGGUGACAAAAUUUGCAAUCGAAUCUAAUGCUUUGCGAUCCCGCCUGUCCAUGCUAGGUUUGGCCUUUGGCACUUGGUCAAAGAAUCUGUGAUAUAUAUUUUAAAAACGUCGAUAUAUACACACAUACAUAAAUAUAUAUAAAUGUAUAUAUUACACGCAUAAAUACACCCAAAUCAGAGAUCAUCUUGUAUAUAAAGAGGUAGAGCGAGGUUGCUAUAUGAUGCCAGUAUAUGAUCGUUGUUAUUAAGAACGCCAAGAACAUGCAAGGAGCGAGUGCCCAGUGGUCAGCUGUCCAUCCUCCCGCCUUGAGAAAAUCGAGCUAAUAUUCCACAAUGACUGCCACCAGCGUCAUUAUGGAACUAUCCAGCCCAGCAAAACGCAAGAAGUCCGGCAGUGAGGACCUAGCGGGGCAAGCGGCUGUCAGUGCACGGUAAGGGAACACGAGGUGGCUUCGAAGGAGAACGCGAGGUGAACAACCACGUUGGAACAGGAUGAACAGAUGAGUUUGCUUGAUUAACAUGGGGAACACAAUGAUUUUUUUUUUCAUUCUUUGUUCAUUAAUUGAAGAACAUACUAUUUUAAUAAUGAUAUAUAUUUUUAACAAUAAUAUAUAUAUCUUCAUAAUGAUAUAUAUUUUUUAUUAUAAUAUAUAUAUUACAGUACAUAUAGAUUUAUAUGAAUAUAAUGUUUUUUUAUCAUAAUUUGGAAUAGCUGUUAGAUCUGAAACUUUGAUUUGAUGAUUUGUUACCAUUGCCAUUUAUCUAAAUUUAAAUCGUUGUUUAAUUUUAAGUUUUAUUAGAUGAUUGGAAAAAGUAAAAAUAUAUAAUGUACCUCUGUAAACGGGGAAUGAAAGGGACCGAAGAAGAAAGAGGAAGAAGAGAGAUAAUAAGACUCAAAGAAGCGGUAGAAAAAAAAGGAGAAGAGAUGAAAAGAGGGAAAGAAACUCAUAAAAAGAAAGAAAGAAAAGGAACAUAAUAGAGUAAAGAACAAGAGGGAAGGACAGACCGAAUAACACACAAAUAAAAGAGAAAAACAGAGUAAAUUACCAAAGCAGGAAAAAAACAGAAAAAAAAACAGACAAAGACGAAAUAAAGAUAAGAGAAAGAAGAAACAAAAAC